ACUUUUAAAGGAUAAUAGUCAUCCGUUGGUUUUAGGAGCCAAACACUCCUGGUGCA
rnacentral:tRNA from 2 species